AGAGCGAACGCUGGCGGCAGGCCUAAUACAUGCAAGUCGAACGAACCCUUCGGGGUUAGUGGCGGACGGGUGAGUAACACGUGGGAACGUGCCUUUUGGUUCGGAACAACUCAGGGAAACUUGAGCUAAUACCGAAUGUGCCCUUCGGGGGAAAGAUUUAUCGCCAUUAGAGCGGCCCGCGUCUGAUUAGCUAGUUGGUGGGGUAAAGGCCCACCAAGGCUACGAUCAGUAGCUGGUCUGAGAGGAUGAUCAGCCACACUGGGACUGAGACACGGCCCAGACUCCUACGGGAGGCAGCAGUAGGGAAUCUUGCGCAAUGGGCGAAAGCCUGACGCAGCCAUGCCGCGUGAAUGAUGGAGGUCUUAGGAUUGUAAAAUUCUUUCAGCGGGGACGAUAAUGACGGUACCCGCAGAAGAAGCCCGGCUAACUUCGUGCCAGCAGCCGC
rnacentral:rRNA from 1 species